UUCUCGCGGUACAGACGCUCCCCUCAAGGUCAACGCCCGCCCACUCUCCGCAUCUUGUUUCCGGUCCCCCGCGAUGAUCGUGCACGCCUCCGCCUCCGCCUCCAGCAUGCACGCCCGCCUUGGCCCAUCACGCGUAACCACUGCCGCCCCUCGCCCAAGGCCGCCGCCAAUCGCAACCCUCCGCCGCCGCGCAAGCGCCCAUCCACCCAGCCCCGCGUGCGCUAGCCCACACUGCCGAUCUGCGCAACACCACGGUGAGGCCUUGUACCACGCCGCCUCUAGAAUCGAAGGGGUCAGAGGAGAGAUAACUACCAUCGUUCCCCAUUUGGUUUCUCUACCUGCUCUCGAUCUCCUCCGAUUCAUGCCGCUUCCACUGAUAUAUUCGUCUAAUACGCACAAUUGCGGGAGGGAUUGGAUGACGAAGUUACCACCCAGGAGCAGGGGAGGGGGUCCUUGUUGUUCCUCGUCGACGGCAUCUCCGCUCCCACGCCGCUACCAUAGCCGCCACCGCAUCGGCCGACGACCGGCAGAACCUUGUCCCGCCGCAGAGGUUUCUGCUGACUCCUGCCCCGGAGGAGCUGGUGGCCCGCGCCUUCUCCCCCGUCACGGCCGCCUCCCUCCACCUGCCUCCCAUCUGCGACAGCCUCACCAGUGAGGGGAGCAGGGCCAGCAGCGCGCCCCCCCCCCCCCCCUGGAGAAAAACUCGAAGCGCCAGUUCCGGCGUGAGGGCAAGCAGGUAAUCUGUAAUAACUAAGGUGAGCUGCUUUGCUCUAAUUCCCCGACAUUAUGCAGAUGUGUGUGGUGCAUUCCAGGUGUUUGUGGUAAUUCCUAGAUGUAGUUGCUCUGAACUUGGAUGACACUUUGGUCCUGCCUGGUUGUCAUGUCCUGUUGGUUACCGUCUGCGGCGAACAUUGAUCCAUCGCUGGUUGCGUACGAUGACAAAAUAAAACAAGAGAUCGAUCAUGGGAAUGUGUAUUCCCGUGACCAUGAAGCAAUGGUUGCGGAAACUCUUUACUCCUGCAACUGCAAAAAGUGGCCACGAAAGGAAAUAGUAUCUAUUUGCCCAACUUUGAUGCUAUUGAAAGCCUGAAGCUUAGCGCUGAUCACAGUUAUUAUAUUUAUGAGAGUGAACUUAGCCUGAAGCUUAGCCUGUAGUUAUAUACAUGUUGUGCCAAUUCCGGUCUGGACAAGAUCUGGGUACCUUUGUUAAUCUAUUCUCAUUCAAUACCAAAUUUUUCUUUUUUGUUUGACUUCCAUCUAUGCAUGAUCAAAAAAAUUGUGUGUUAAUUGGUGGCAGGUACAAUAUCAAGUAAUAUGGCCCAAACUUCAGAAGCAGACACCGAUCAUGAUAUUUCAGGGGAAAUUGAAAUAGAAAAAGUCUGGACUCGCAAGGUCAAAGGAUCUCAUACCCUCCGAUCUGAAUUAACCGACUCCACUUUAUCUAGAUACGGAUGUACCUAGAUUCGUGUAUUGACUAGAUACAUCCGUAUCUAUACAAAGUGGAGCCAAUUAAUUUAAAUCAGAGGACGUACCUGUCUUUGACGCUCUUAGCAUAACUAGGGCUAUAUAGCAAAGCUUCGCGAGUUCUUCUAUAGAAGGCAAGACUGCGACUGAUGGUGCUCAAGCUGGAGGUGAUAGAAUGAGUAGAAGAUGUGGAAGUGUUGGGAUGUUGGUGUUUUUUGGUUUGUAGAUGUAGAUGCUGCAGUUAGUAGAAGACGUGGAAGUGUCAGGUGUUUGAUUUCUUUUGGUUCGCUUGUAGUUGCCGUAGAGUACGUUUUUCAUGCUUAGUUUCAAAUUUGUGUAACUGAUUUUCAACCUUGGAUUUGGAGCGACAUGUUUCCUAUAAUACACUUUGUACCGUGCUUUCGUUGAAUUUAAUAUGAGAUGAUGCUAUAUGUGCUA